rnacentral:tRNA from 1 species
GAAGUAAUAGUUAAAAUUAUAAUAAGCGGUUUGAAACUGUUAGUUGGUGUAAGGAAUGCCUGCUUCU